AAGCUUCCUCUCUACGCUCACCCACAGUACCAUAGAAGACAUGGGCGAGGUAAAAUGCCUGUUGCGGGACCGGGCCCGGCAGCGGCUUCUUCUUCGUUGUUUCUCUGGUGGAAGACCCGCGCCUGCGACACCGCGGCAGCGGUGGAGGCUGUCACUUGGCAGCAGCGGCGGCGGCGGCUACAACUCUUCUCCUGGGUACAGCCUGGGUCACCAACGCCUACAACCUGGCACAAGCAUGGCCAUCCACCAACAUGCAAAACAAGUUCAAGACCAAAUAUGUGUUUCUUGCUGUUUACUCAACUGAACCAGAUUUGGGUAUUCAAGUUCCAAGGUUUCUGCUAACAGCAUACAGAUUAAAUUGAAAAGCUGGAUUCAUCUAAAUCAUGGACAGUUCAAAACCAAUUAUUUCCAAACCAAUUAUUUCUA